ACCGGCACGUUCUAUGUAUGCUUAGUGAUGAGGGUGAUUGAUCUCACAACCACUUAUGUGAUGACACUAAUACAAAGAGUGGGUACUCAUUAGAGAAUAAAUUUACUAAAUAGACCGAUGAGAGAAUAUCUGAUGGAGUUUUAUUUAUAUGUUAGUUAAUUGUUCUCCAAUGGGAGUUGUGCAAGUGAUCCUUUGAUCUGAGAUCACCAUAGUACCUUG
rnacentral:lncRNA from 1 species